rnacentral:rRNA from 1 species
CAGUAGCCGCGGUAAUACGGAGGGUGCAAGCGUUAAUCGGAAUUACUGGGCGUAAAGCGUGCGUAGGCGGCUUUUUAAGUCGGAUGUGAAAUCCCUGAGCUUAACUUAGGAAUUGCAUUCGAUACUGGGAAGCUAGAGUAUGGGAGAGGAUGGUAGAAUUCCAGGUGUAGCGGUGAAAUGCGUAGAGAUCUGGAGGAAUACCGAUGGCGAAGGCAGCCAUCUGGCCUAAUACUGACGCUGAGGUACGAAAGCAUGGGGAGCAAACAGGAUUAGAUACCCGCGUAGUCCCUGUCUCUUAUAU